rnacentral:rRNA from 1 species
GAUGAACGCUAGCUACAGGCUUAACACAUGCAAGUCGAGGGGCAGCAUGAUUGAAGCUUGCUUCAAUCGAUGGCCACCGGCGCACGGGUGAGUAACACGUAUCCAACCUGCCGAUAACUCGGGGAUAGCCUUUCGAAAGAAAGAUUAAUACCCGAUAGUAUAGUAUUUCCGCAUGGUUUCACUAUUAAAGAACUUCGGUUAUCGAUGGGGAUGCGUUCCAUUAGAUAGUUGGCGGGGUAACGGCCCACCAAGUCAACGAUGGAUAGGGGUUCUGAGAGGAAGGUCCCCCACAUUGGAACUGAGACACGGUCCAAACUCCUACGGGAGGCAGCAGUGAGGAAUAUUGGUCAAUGGACGAGAGUCUGAACCAGCCAAGUAGCGUGAAGGAUGACUGCCCUAUGGGUUGUAAACUUCUUUUAUACGGGAAUAAAGUGGAGUAUGCAUACUCCUUUGUAUGUACCGUAUGAAUAAGGAUCGGCUAACUCCGUG